GAUGAACGCUGGCGGCGUGCCUAAUACAUGCAAGUCGAGCGAACUGAUUAGAAGCUUGCUGCUAUGACGUUAGCGGCGGACGGGGGAGUAACACGUGGGCAACCUGCCUGUAAGACUGGGAUAACUUCGGGAAACCGAAGCUAAUACCGGAUAGGCUCUUCCCCUUGCUGGGCGAUGAUUGAAAGAUCGUUCCGGCUAUCACUCACAGAUGGGCCCGCGGUGCAUUAGCUAGUUGGUGAGUUAACGGCUCACCAAGGCAACGAUGCAUAGCCGACCUGAGAGGGUGAUCGGCCCCACUGGGACUGAGACACGGCCCAGAUUCCUACGGGAGGCAGCAGUAGGCAAUCUUCCUCAAUGGACGAAAGUCUGACGGAGCAACGCCGCGUGAGUGAUGAAGGCUUUCGGGUCGUAAAACUCUGUUGUUAGAGAAGAACAAGUACAAGAGUCACUGCUUGUACCUUGACGGUACCUAACCAGAAAGCCACGGCUAACUACGUGCCAGCAGCCGCGGUAA
rnacentral:rRNA from 1 species